rnacentral:lncRNA from 1 species
AGGUAAGGUGACUGCUUUUAACAUUCAGAAUUACCCAGAUGGCAUAUUAUGCAGUGUAUCAUAGGCAUUUUAAACUCUUAAAAUCAGACACCAAUUGGUUAUAAUGCUUUUGCUAAAAUAGGAAAUUACCAAACAAAAAUAAUUUGGCAUUUUUUUCUUAUUUAUGCAUUUUUCCCCUUUAACUAGUAGAUUUAUGCUUGUAGUGAGAAG